UGGUCUUAUUUAAUAGAUAUCUAAACCUUCAAUAGAACGAAGAAUGAUUAAUGAAUGUCUCGUAUUAGAACAAACUCCAAAUAAGGUAAUCAAAUACAAACAAAAAAUUCAAAGGUUAUACACAAUUUAGUUAAUGAUACGUUAUGGGAUAUUAGAUAAAGAGCUGGCAGUUCUCACUAUAAUAGUUAAAAACUAGAUAAUGUAAAGGGAAUUUGCUAAAAUUUUCAGGCAAAUUGAUCCACUCUGAACCGAGAAUGUAGUGAUUGAAUUUUCGGCCUAGCCUCGAUCAUCAUUGCUAAAUCGAUACGAUAAAAUACAUAGUCUCGAUUAUCCAUUUCAUGAUUAAAUCAUGAAUGAAAGUUGAGCAGCAAAUCGGAUCCUAAUCCAGUAAAUAUCGCAGGCUAGCGAUGACAUCGAGAGUUGAUUAUGGUCUGGAUAUGUUAAUUAAUGUCUAAUUAAUAAUUUAGAUAACAUUUCAGGCCUAAAGAAAGACCCGGAAAUAGGUAGAUUUAGCUCUUGCAUAAUGUAUGUUUAAUCUUCGUGAUAGCGUAUCCGCAACAUAAAAAGUGUAAGAACAAUGCCCUCAUCAAUCAACAGUAUGGUAUGAUAACAUUAUUUAGUAUAUAUACAUUAUUUUCUGUGGUGUUCUUUUUACACCCAUACUAAACGUUACUUUGAUGGUAUCGUUGCAAAUGAAAUGAAAUGAAAUUAGGUUUAACGUCUUACUUUUCUGCAUCCACUGGGAGGUGUGCUAUGACGGAAAUUUUGCCAGGUCAGCGGCACUAAAGCUUACUUUUAUUUCGAAUUCCAUCUGCCGAGGCUUUUUUAUGUACACACCAAUGUGUACAUGAGACCUUGGUUUUUUGGCCCAUCCGGACGACAAUACAUUUUCCUUGCCAGGCCCUCCGUCCUACAUCACUGACAAUGGCGAACCACCGGUGACCAGUGGUGUUGCAGCCCUGGUUGGUGUGUGUGACCAUUAAUGUAUACUGUCUCCAAAUGUAAUACAACUGCAGUGUAUUUUUUUAUCGUUUGUAAUAUUUUUACUUUUGUUUUUUAAAUCCGAGUACGACGAGGGUAGAGAAAGCUGAUAUACUAGAGAUGACAGUUGAAUAUUUACAUAAUAUUAUAUAUAAACAAAGAGAUAGUGGGGAGUGGCGCCGAAUACAGAAAUGGAUAUAACGCGUGCUUAAUAGAGGUUUCUCAGUUUCUGGACCAAGAACAAGAAUUGAAUAUUAAAAUGAAACAAGAUAUAACAGGGAAUUUGAGGUCAAAGAUCAAUGGAAACAACUAUGUGAUUACAAUGAAUGAACAGACCGUGGCUUGUGAUGGAUUGAUUCUGGAAACCUUGAACAUGUGUCGAAUCUGUAGAUUACAAUGGACCAUAGUUCAUUUUUGACUGUGGAAUCGGAAAAAGAAUCGGAAAUAUUAGUUUGCGAUGAAGAAAUUUUUUAAUGUGCUUAAAAAUGAGAUAAUUAAUCGAGAAAGUCUCAUGCUGUACCUGAUGGUAUACGCAACAUCCGAGUAUCAAAGGGGAGUAACUGCUUUGAUAGUUCUUUUAUUAUUUAUUACAUACAGUGUCCGGGUUUUAUUGUCUGCCUUGUCCAAGGCUAUAUCUUCUAGGUUGCUUAUGGUCUAAAAUAAAUAACGUAUAAAUUAUAUUUUUGUAUGUGGCGGAGAUUCGCUCCAUCAUGGGUUCAUUUAAUUAAUUUAACAUCGUGAAUGGUGUCACUUAAUCACCUGCCAAUCAAAACUGGAUUAAAAUGCACUCUAUUUCUUGAACAAUACAAUCUGUGUUAAUUUGCCUUUGCUGUUUUACUUCGUGUGUGUUUGAUACGUGUUUAUUAUACAGAUUGUGUCUAUUCUUUCUGAACAAAUAAAAAAAAUUCCAAAUUUGC